CAGCAGCCGCGGGAACACGAAGGGGGCUAGCGUUGUUCGGAAUUACUGGGCGUAAAGGGCGCGUGGGCGGCCAUUCAAGUUAGAUGUGAAAGCCCUGGGCUCAACCUAGGAAUUGCAUUUGAUACUGUUUGGCUUGAGUUCGGGAGAGGUGAGUGGAAUUCCCAGUGUAGAGGUGAAAUUCGUAGAUAUUGGGAAGAACACCUGUGGCGAAAGCGGCUCACUGGACAAUAACUGACGCUGAUGCACGAAAGCGUGGGGAGCAAACAGGAUUAGAUACCCGAGUAGUCCCUGUCUCUUAUAC
rnacentral:rRNA from 1 species